rnacentral:rRNA from 1 species
GACGAACGCUGGCGGCGUGCUUAACACAUGCAAGUCGAGCGGAAAGGCCCUUCGGGGUACUCGAGCGGCGAACGGGUGAGUAACACGUGAGUAAUCUGCCCUUCACUCUGGGAUAGCCACCGGAAACGGUGAUUAAUACCGGAUAUGACCAAUCCCUGCAUGGGGUGUUGGUGGAAACUUUUUUGGGUGGGGGAUGUGCUCGCGGCCUAUCAGCUUGUUGGUGGGGUAAUGGCCUACCAAGGCUUCGACGGGUAGCCGGCCUGAGAGGGUGACCGGCCACACUGGGACUGAGACACGGCCCAGACUCCUACGGGAGGCAGCAGUGGGGAAUAUUGGACAAUGGGCGGAAGCCUGAUCCAGCAACGCCGCGUGAGGGAUGACGGCCUUCGGGUUGUAAACCUCUUUCAGCACCGACGAAGCGCAAGUGACGGUAGGUGCAGAAGAAGGACCGGCCAACUACGUGCCAGCCGCCGCGGUAAGAC